rnacentral:rRNA from 1 species
GAUGAACGCUAGCGGCAGGCUUAACACAUGCAAGUCGAGGGGCAUCGGGAGGGAAGCUUGCUUUCCUUGCCGGCGACCGGCGCACGGGUGAGUAACACGUAUGCAACCUGCCCUCUUCAGGGGGACAACCUUCCGAAAGGGAGGCUAAUCCCGCGUAUAUCGGUUUCGGGCAUCCGAGAUCGAGGAAAGAUUCAUCGGAAGAGGAUGGGCAUGCGGCGCAUUAGCUUGACGGCGGGGUAACGGCCCACCGUGGCGACGAUGCGUAGGGGUUCUGAGAGGAAGGUCCCCCACACUGGUACUGAGACACGGACCAGACUCCUACGGGAGGCAGCAGUGAGGAAUAUUGGUCAAUGGGAGAGAUCCUGAACCAGCCAAGCCGCGUGAGGGAAGACGGUCCUAUGGGUUGUAAACCUCUUUUGUCGGAGAACAAAACCCGGGACGUGUCCCGGACUGCGUGUAUCCGAAGAAAAAGCAUCGGCUAACUCCGUGCCAGCAGCCGCGGUAAUACGGAGGAUGCGAGCGUUAUCCGGAUUUAUUGGGUUUAAAGGGUGCGUAGGCGGUCCGUUAAGUCAGCGGUAAAAUUGCGGGGCUCAACCCCGUCGAGCCGUUGAAACUGGCAGACUUGAGUUGGCGAGAAGUACGCGGAAUGCGCGGUGUAGCGGUGAAAUGCAUAGAUAUCGCGCAGAACUCCGAUUGCGAAGGCAGCGUACCGGCGCCAGACUGACGCUGAGGCACGAAAGCGUGGGGAUCGAACAGGAUUAAAUACCCUGGUAGUCCACGCAGUAAACGAUGAAUGCUGGUUGUCCGGGUCGAAUGAGAUCUGGGCGGCGAAGCGAAAGCGAUAAGCAUUCCACCUGGGGAGUACGCCGGCAACGGUGAAACUCAAAGGAAUUGACGGGGGCCCGCACAAGCGGAGGAACAUGUGGUUUAAUUCGAUGAUACGCGAGGAACCUUACCCGGGCUCAAACGGGAGUGGAAUGGACCAGAGACGGUUCAGCCUACGGGCCGCUUCCGAGGUGCUGCAUGGUUGUCGUCAGCUCGUGCCGUGAGGUGUCGGCUUAAGUGCCAUAACGAGCGCAACCCCCGCCGGCAGUUGCUAACGGGCAAUGCCGAGGACUCUGCCGGGACUGCCGCCGCAAGGCGAGAGGAAGGCGGGGAUGACGUCAAAUCAGCACGGCCCUUACGUCCGGGGCGACACACGUGUUACAAUGGGCGGUACAGCGGGAAGCCAGGCGGCGACGCCGAGCGGAACCCGAAAGCCGUUCUCAGUUCGGAUCGGAGUCUGCAACCCGACUCCGUGAAGCUGGAUUCGCUAGUAAUCGCGCAUCAGCCAUGGCGCGGUGAAUACGUUCCCGGGCCU